rnacentral:rRNA from 1 species
CAGCAGUCGCCGCGGUAAUACGUAGGGUGCGAGCGUUAAUCGGAAUUACUGGGCGUAAAGCGUGCGCAGGCGGCUUUGCAAGACAGAUGUGAAAUCCCUGGGCUCAACCUGGGAACUGCAUUUGUGACUGCAAGGCUAGAGUACGGUAGAGGGGGAUGGAAUUCCGCGUGUAGCAGUGAAAUGCGUAGAUAUGCGGAGGAACACCAAUGGCGAAGGCAAUCCCCUGGACCUGUACUGACGCUCAUGCACGAAAGCGUGGGGAGCAAACAGGAUUAGAUACCCGUGUAGUCCCUGUCUCUUAUAC